rnacentral:tRNA from 1 species
UCCCUGGUGGCUCAGACGGUAAAGCAUCUGCCUGCAAGGAGGGAGACCCGGGUUCGAUCCCCGGGUGGGGAG